UACACUUUUCUUGUCAUGUGAAAUUAGCACAACUUAAAGUAGUACUGCUGUGUUUUUGUUAUGCAUUGUGUUCCUAAGAUGCUCCUAACCGCUUCAGUUUUGUUUGUCUGAAUUGUUUUGUAUUCAGUGUUUUUCAGGUCCUAGAUGCUUCUAAAUGAUAUGUAUUGGUAUGUAUGUUGAUAUGAUGUUAUCUUGUUUAAAUGUUUUUCAAUAUGCAGUUUUGUUUGGGUUGGCAUUAUCUUGUAUUCAGUGUGUUUUUCAGGUCCUAGAUGUUUCUAAAUGGUAUGUAUUACACAACAUCAAGUACAUGUAGGUGUCAAAAGGGUAGGUAUUGCAUGAGUUGUUUUCAAGUUAUCCCAGUUCUGCAAUUACAUUGUUCCAAGUUAAUGUUCCUUUGUGUACAAGUAUACUGUAUAAGUUAAACAGGAAACUGAUCCCAUUCCUAAAAACAUGGAUGCAAACUAAUUAUCUAUCUGCCCUGGUUGCUGUUUACCAUUUUCAUUCUCUGUGAGUUUGCACCCCUGUGAUAGCCACUUUACUGCUUUGUAUUAACAAAAUCACAUGGGGCUUUCUUGGGGUGUCUUUUCGCCAUGAUCAGAGUAAUAAAACUUUUUUAUUUUGCAGGUACUUGUCGGUCAUCGUAUUUGUCAUCAAUAUCGACGUGUGAUGCUGAUGAUUCCUGAACUGCUUGGAGCUCCUAUUUAAUUCAAUCAGAGCAUUGGGCGGCUGGAAUAACAAUCCAUCGGCAGUCCAAUCCAUGGCCAGUUCCAGGCCAUCUUCCACCGGCUGAUGGUUCGGUGUGGUGCCUCACCUGGUGAGACAGGCAAUGUGGCAGCCCAGGAUAACACUGUGUCCCUGUCUGCUGUGGAGAUGUCCUCUCCUGAAACUGCUGAAGAGCACCCAUCUCCAUUCGCCAACAUUUAGCCCUUGUGUGUGACCACAGUUAUCUCCCCACUUGGUUUGGUGGUCUGGUGGCAAAUGCUCUGGUCUACAUAGCAGGGUGCUGAGAGCUGCAGAGGGGGUGAUCCGCCAAGCUUCACCAAUGCAAGCUCCUGAGGUGUCGACAGAUACACAUUGUCCAGGAGGAGAUUGGAACGGAGGAUGUUUUUUGGUUGAGGAACACAUUGAGGAGACACAGAUUGGCAUCGAC